rnacentral:misc_RNA from 1 species
AACAACUACAAAAGCAACAAUCACCAUUGAAAUCUAGUAAUAAACUCAUUAUCAUCUAAAAAUCAGUCAAUUAAAAAUACAUGAUUAUCAUGAAAACAUAACAGAAACCAACAGACAAACAAAAAGAAACUGAACAGUACAAAAGAAAGCUCUCACUCUAACUCGUCUGCAGAGAUUCAAGCGGAAGCCCAAGUUCCUGAUUCUCUUCCUCCUUAACCUUGGUCUGGUUCCUCGGUGGUACAGGUAUAGCAACGAAGGUCUUGGUCUUACUAAUGGGCCUACUCUUUUCAAGCUGAACAUAAUCCCCAACUUGAAAUUGGUUCAAUGGGUCAUGAGCUUGGUACUUCUUCUUCUUCCUAACCCUACGUUUGUACUUUGGGUGAGGAGCAAGACGAGUAACUUCCACAGAAACGGUUUUGUCGUUUGUGGAGCAGACGACUCUGCCUUGCAUUGAUCUCAUGGCUCGAAUUGGAGGCAGGAAAGCAGGUGGAGAAGGUUUUUGGGAAGUGAUAGAGGAUGAGGGUGUGGAGAGACGAGAAAGAGAAGAGGAGCCAUGGAGAAAAGGGGUGGAAAUGGUGAGGGAUUUGAAUUGAGAGAGAAGAGGAGAAGUUACAGACAUUGUGUGA